UACGUAGGGGGCAAGCGUUGUCCGGAUUUAUUGGGCGUAAAGCGCGUGUAGGCGGCCAUACAGGUCCGUUGUGAAAACUCGAGGCUUAACCUCGAGACGUCGAUGGAAACCGUAUGGCUAGAGUCCGGAAGAGGAGAGUGGAAUUCCUGGUGUAGCGGUGAAAUGCGCAGAUAUCAGGAAGAACACCCGUGGCUAAGGCGGUUCUCUAGUACGGUACUGACGCUGAGACGCGAUAGCGUGGGGAGCGAACAGG
rnacentral:rRNA from 1 species